rnacentral:rRNA from 1 species
UACAGAGGUCUCAAGCGUUGUUCGGAUUCAUUGGGCGUAAAGGGUGCGUAGGCGGCGCGGUAAGUCGGGUGUGAAAUCUCGGAGCUUAACUUCGAAACUGCAUUCGAUACUGCCGUGCUUGAGGACUGGAGAGGAGACUGGAAUUUACGGUGUAGCGGUGAAAUUCGUAGAUAUCGAGAGGAACACCGGUGGCGAAGGCGGCCAACUGGACGGAGACUGACGCUGAGACACGAAAGCGUGGGUAGCAAACAGG